AGAUAAAUUGUGUAUUUAUGUAAUUUUUAGUAAAAAUAUUACAAAAAUCAUAAUCAACAAAAGGCCCAAACCCGAUCCAAUAUCCUGAUUUGGGACUAUAAAAAAGUACCCUAAAUUAGGGUUUUCUAAUUGCUCCUCUUGUUCUUUAUCCAUCCGUCUUUUCCGCCGUCGAGGAUGUCUGUGUUGGUCCUUUGCAACCGUCAUCUCCGAGGAGAUCGAGUUGCUGUGAAGGGAAGCUCCAUCUGCCCUUCAUUUUUGUGAAGUUUUUGAUAGCUAGAGAGUCUAGCUUGUGUUAGCACAGUAGAGUAGUUGAUGUUGUUCAAACACUUCUUGUACCCCUGGGUAUAUCCCGUGGGCUUGUAAUAUUUAGGACCCCCUGCUCUUCCUUGCUUACUCUGUGACUGCUUUAUGCUCUCAUGCUUGUUAAUAUUAUGCAUGUGAAUUGAUCUUCCUUGUUCUGAUUCUCAAAUUAGGGAUUUGUGUUUUGUCUAUGUUUACAAACUUUCUUAUUUUUGCUGGUAGCUCUUAGAAACUAUGAUAGUCUCUAACAAUUUCUGCAUCAAUCACUUCAUCAGCUGAAGCGUCUGCAACUGUAUUUCCUUCUCUGAAUGUAUGUUGUGGUUGUGCUUGAAUGGUAGUAACCCUCUCUCUUAUGUCUUCAGUUUAUUCCGCUAGUUCCCAAGGUACUUUACACUGUUUAUUUAUCAUUCUCAUCAGAACCAGGGAAUCAAUUUCAAUUAUUACCUUCCCGAUUGCCUUCUCUUGUAUGUAAUGUAAGAUUCUUUAAUUGCUUUCAUUUUUGCCUGAGUAUUAGUUGUGACUCCCAAUCCUUUAGCCUUUACAUAAAUCAGAUCUCCUUUUAUCAUCCCCAACACAAAAGGCACAGGCACUUAUUCUUGGGUUGCCUUUACUUGCUCUAUCAGUGUUACAUUUAAGAAUAUUCUUCUCAGGAAGCCUCAAAACUACAUUAUAAUAAUGUAACUUUGGCUUGUAAUUUCACAAAAUGUGCACCACUUGUGGGUACAUCUUCUUUACUUGCUUUCUUUUCAUUUCCUGACUCUGCCACACCAAUUCUCCAUAUUUGAUAUCUCCACCAUGUUUAAUUGCAUUCCUUCUCCUCCACAUAUUCCACAUAAUGAUUGUUGGAAUUACUUUAAAUAUGACUUCAGUUUUGGUGAUGCUUUCAUUGUCUACCAAGCCAUGAUAAUCUCCUAUAAAUUCAUGUGUUCUAUGUCAAUACCUACAAAAAUAGCAAACUCCCUCCAUAAAUUUGCAGCUAUGGGGGGCUGUUAGAAAUAAAUAGUUCAUAAUCUCUUCCUUCUUUACAUCACAACACCAACAUCUGGAUACAACAUUUAUCCACAUUAUUUUUAGAUUGUCAUCAGUUGCAAUCCUCCUUCUCCAAGCCCUCCAUAAAAAAAAAUUAAUUUUGAAAGGCAACCCUUUCGCCCAUAUCUUGUAUUCCUCUCUUUUCUCCUUUUUCUGCCUCAAUAGUUCCCAUGCUGACUUGACUGUGAAAUUGCCCUGAGUAUUACCCAUCCACCAUGGUACACCAUCUUUUUCACACCUUUGUGGCUGUAUAUUCUCAAUAAUAUAAUUAGCCAUCUCUUCUAAUAGUACACUUUAUAAUUUCAUGUCAUCCCAUUCUAUAUUAAUACAGAAAUCCUUUACCUCUAAUUCCUCCUCUUUGUAAUACCUCAUACUUUUCUUAGUUCAGUUCAGUUCCUAGUGCAUGCAUAAAGCCUAAAAAUUUAAUCAAGUAUUGGAAACUUAGUCAUUUUUUGGGGCCUUUUAACUCGAGAAUUUUUAAAGUGGCCUUUCUGACCUAGAGAUGUUGGUUUUUGAGUUAAUUCAUGUUUAGGGGUGUAAGGCGCAUAUCUCGAGGAAGUUUUGGAUUUUUCGGAUGAGGAUUGGGUCUUGGUUGGAUUUCGAUUCCAGAACCUCACCGCAAUAGUGGCGCGUCGCGGUAAUAGCGAUGAGCCCUUCACGCAUCGCGGUGUUCCAUUAAUCAGCAUUCCAAUUAUGAAUUUAAAUGUUUGAGGGGCAGUUAAGUCUUUUCCCAUUGGCUCAAUUCUUAAAAACAUGAAUUUAAGCUUCAAUUAGGGCAUUGUUCACCAAUUUCCUCUAAAAAACAAACCCUAAUCAUUCCCCCAAGUUUAGCAAUUCCAUUCCUUUCUCUCCAAGAAAAUCAAGAACUCAAGUUUUCCAAUUCAAGAACUUUCAAGAAAGCUUUCAAGAUUGUGUUUCCCUUUCAAGCUUAAGGGCUUCAGACCAUGCCUCCCAGAAGGAAUAACGGAAGGAGGAAUGAGAAUCAGCUCACACCUUUGCUUAUUCAGGAAGAUCCCUUGAAUGUGUUUGGACGCUCAGUUUCCCGACCGCGCUUAGAUAGUUCAGCUAGUCAGCAGCAGCAGCAGUGGUGAGUCCUCAUAUAAUGAGGACCUGUUAUGUUUCUUUUAGUAUUUCCGCAUUUCAUUUCAGUUAGACAGUUGGAGUUAGUUAGGGCCUGUCCCAUCAAUUCUUUUCAAUUAGUUUAGAGG